UACGAUUUAUACCAUCAAGAUGCCCUUCACAAGUCACUCGUCAGUGUAUGGUGCAUGUCAAAAAUUCAAAUUUGCCGAAAGAAGAACUUUCAUAACGUCGGGUUCUUCGACCCCGAUAUUAUACACGAGAAAUCGCUAGCGCUAAAUCCUGGAGACAUAGUCAAUGUUAUAUACAGGGGGUUGCGUAAAAAUAGCAUGUGUCCCUUCAUUCUCUUGCCAUACAACCAUCAGUCUUGGUGUACGACUCGUUAAGGCAAGAUAAAUCAAAGUACCAAGAUAUCAUCGA